UAGUGUGUAUAUAAUGCAGUGUAUUUGUGUAGUGUGCAUUAUAUAAACACACUACACAAACACACUGCAUUAUAUAUACACACA